ACCAGCUGAGGGGUCCUGCCCAGGGACAUCAAACCAGGGAACAUCCUGGGUGACCUGGCCACCGGGCAGGCCAAACUGAUCGACUUUGGCUGUGGCACCUACCUGCAAGACACAGCCUACACUCACUUUGCAGGAACAUGGUCAUACAGCCCCCCAGAAUGGACCCAGUUGGGCUGGUACUAUGGCGAGCCAGCUACCAUCUGGUCCCUGGGCAUCGUGCUGCCGCAGAUGGUCUGUGGGGAGCACCCAUUCAGGAGGGACCAGAACAUCAGCUGGGACCAUCAGCUCUCACUGCCACAACAGCUCUCUCCAGAGUGCCAAGAUCUGAUCAGGCAGUGUUUAUGCAUGCUGGACUUGGAAAGGCCCUCAUUAGAAGAGAUGUUCUGUGAUCCUUGGAUGCAGGAUAUUCAUGUGCCCUAGAAGAAGGGAGAGAGCCACAGGUACACUUUGAUGCAGGGCCCUGGUAAGUUAGAGCUCCACACAUGCCUUGGCAAUCAGAAGCAAAGGAACCCAGACCUUUUUUGUCCUGCCUGUGUCACUGCCCAGAGGUCAUCAAAUGGGAACACACAGCCCUUGUGCUGGAGCUGAGCUGCUCUGCCCAGCACUGGUGGCUGCCA